UACGGGGGGGGCAAGCGUUGUUCGGAAUUACUGGGCGUAAAGGGCGCGUAGGCGGCUUGGCAAGUGGAAGGUGAAAUCCCUCGGCUUAACCGAGGAACUGCCCUCCAAACUGCUUCGCUUGAGACCGGGAGAGGUGAGUGGAAUUCCCAGUGUAGCGGUGAAAUGCGUAGAUAUUGGGAGGAACACCAGUGGCGAAGGCGGCUCACUGGACCGGUACUGACGCUGAUGCGCGAAAGCGUGGGGAGCAAACGGG
rnacentral:rRNA from 1 species